UACGGGGGGGGCAAGCGUUGUUCGGAAUUACUGGGCGUAAAGGGCCAGUAGGCGGCCAACUAAGUCCGACGUGAAAUCCCUCGGCUUAACCGGGGAACUGCGUCUGAUACUGGAUGGCUUGAGUUUGGGAGAGGGACGCGGAAUUCCAGGUGUAGCGGUGAAAUGCGUAGAUAUCUGGAGGAACACCGGUGGCGAAGGCGGCGUCCUGGACCAACACUGACACUGAGGAGCGAAAGCCAGGGGAGCAAACGGG
rnacentral:rRNA from 1 species